CGCCACCAUUGCCCGGCUGAUGCCUUCAUUUUAAGUUCUGUUUAACGAUGCACAGCUCAGAAGACGCCAUGCUUGAUCCCUGGCUGCUUGGAUGGAGGAAGGCUCUACUAGGAGAACAGCACCAUAGUUCAUCUCCUCCACCAACACCAUUUUGAUUCCACACAGGCUUGCCUCUCCUAAAAGACCUCAGACCUGCUCAUGAUCCAGCCACUGUCCAGCUCUGGAGGAGCCAGCCCAGACUAGAGUCAAUGUCAGUUUUGUCCAGUGCUCUUCAGCUUGUUCACAGGUUUAAAUACGCUUCAGCAGCUACCGAGCAGCGUUUUUAAAAAGCAGAAAGGAAACUUGAUAAUUAAAGAUUCAUAAAACAAUCUAGGAAAUCAACAUGGAAAGACCAUCAGUGGUUCUGAAAACUGAACACCAUGUAUAAAUGCUGUAUCUCGGAAGGUCCCAUCAAGUCCAAUAGUAUCAGGAGCUGAGAUCCAAGCCUUCAAUAUGAGUCUUUGGAAGAAAUCCACUAUCAUUAUUGUUACAAACAGCGAUGUUAUAGCGUGGCCCAGGGAAACAAGAAAUGCCUGAGUGACAUGCUAAUCCUAAAGGGCUGUCCAAGGAACUUAUUAAUCAAAUAAAGCUUCUUACUAAAGAGAUGUUAUCUCUUCUCUGUCAAACUAUAGGAAAGUUAUGAACUCUCAGAAAUUAAACUACAAACAUGUGCUGUUGAGUUUGAAUUUUGUGUGUGGGAG
rnacentral:lncRNA from 1 species